GACGAACGCUGGCGGCGUGGAUUAGGCAUGCAAGUCGGACGGUAGGGCUUUAUCGUAAGAUAGAGUUUGAGAGUGGCGAACGGGUGAGUAACACGUAGGAAUCUACCCUUAAGACGGGGACAACCCAGGGAAACUUGGGCUAAUACCGGAUGAGAGUGCGAGAGAUUGCAUUUAAAAGGAUGGCGAAAGUUAUCGCUUAGGGAUGAGCCUGCGGUCUAUUAGUUAGUUGGUGGGGUAAGAGCUCACCAAGGCGAUGAUAGAUAGGCGGCCUUAACGGGUGGUCGCCCACACUGGGAUUGAGAUACGGCCCAGACUCCUACGGGAGGCAGCAGUCGAGAAUAGUCUACAAUGGCCGGAAGGCUGAUAGUGCGACGCCGCGUGAACGAGGGACGCCCGUUCGGGUGUAAAGUUUCUUUUCUAUACGAGCAGUGCUAUAUAUAUGGAUAGUAUAUAUAGAGGUAUAGUAGUAUAGGAAUAAGACAACGGCUAACUCCGUGCCAGCACGCCGGAAC
rnacentral:rRNA from 1 species